rnacentral:lncRNA from 1 species
GAUGACAGAAUCAGCUUUUGAUCGGUGCAGUGGUGCAGUCUCAGCUCACUGCAGCCUCAAACUCCUGGGCAGCUCAGGUGAUCUUCCCGACUCAGCCUUCUGAGUAGUUGGGGAUACAGAGUCUUGCCAUGCUGUCCAGGCUGGAGUGCAGUGGUGUGAUCUCGGCUCACUGCAACCUCCACCUCCCGGGCUCCAGCAAUCCUCCCACCUCAGCCUCCCUAGGAGCUGAGACUACAGUGCACAGCCAGAGAACAACACAUCACACACAGGAAACAGUUGUGCUCAUGUGAUGGGGGCCUCAGCACUAGGAAGGAGUGGACUAUUGGCGCAUGUAGCAGCUUGAAUAAAUCUGAAAGUCACUACACUGCGUAAGAGAAGCCAAAUAAAAAAGUUCAUGCUGUGUACAGAGGGUGUUGAGAAUGCCUCCUACGUGACGGAAAGCAGAUCCGUGGUUCCCUGCAGACCGGCAGGAGCAGAUUCCAAAGGCACAGGAAGAAGCUUGCAGCUUCUCAGAUGACCAAGAUGGUGCUGCCGAUGGUGUUGAGGACGGAGAACCCACCAAGCCCCGUUAGGAGCCACCUAGACUGGAUGCAGA